CCUACGGGCGGCAGCAGUAGGGAAUCUUCCACAAUGGGCGAAAGCCUGAUGGAGCAACGCCGCGUGGGUGAAGAAGGUCUUCGGAUCGUAAAACCCUGUUGUUAGAGAAGAAAGUGCGUGAGAGUAACUGUUCACGUUUCGACGGUAUCUAACCAGAAAGCCACGGCUAACUACGUGCCAGCAGCCGCGGUAAUACGUAGGUGGCAAGCGUUAUCCGGAUUUAUUGGGCGUAAAGGGAACGCAGGCGGGCUUUUAAGUCUGAUGUGAAACCCUUCGGCUUAACCGGAGUAGUGCAUUGGAAACUGGGAGACGUGAGUGCAGAAGAGGAGGGUGGAACUCCAUGUGUAGCGGUGAAAUGCGUAGAUAUAUGGAAGAACACCAGGGGCGAAAGCGGCUCUCUGGUCUGUAACUGACGCUGAGGUUCGAAAGCGUGGGUAGCAAACAGGAUUAGAUACCCGUGUAGUC
rnacentral:rRNA from 1 species